GCACUGCUGAGGAGUCCCGUAAUAGGACGAAACAUGUGUCCAGUGC
rnacentral:hammerhead_ribozyme from 1 species